rnacentral:rRNA from 1 species
GUGGGGAAUAUUGGACAAUGGGCGGAAGCCUGAUCCAGUCAUGCCGCGUGUGUGAAGAAGGCCUUUUGGUUGUAAAGCACUUUAAGCGAGGAGGAGGCUCUUAAGGUUAAUACCCUUGAUGAGUGGACGUUACUCGCAGAAUAAGCACCGGCUAACUCUGUGCCAGCAGCCGCGGUAAUACAGAGGGUGCGAGCGUUAAUCGGAUUUACUGGGCGUAAAGCGUGCGUAGGCGGCUGAUUAAGUCGGAUGUGAAAUCCCUGAGCUUAACUUAGGAAUUGCAUUCGAUACUGGUCAGCUAGAGUAUGGGAGAGGAUGGUAGAAUUCCAGGUGUAGCGGUGAAAUGCGUAGAGAUCUGGAGGAAUACCGAUGGCGAAGGCAGCCAUCUGGCCUAAUACUGACGCUGAGGUACGAAAGCGUGGGGAGCAAACAGGAUUAGAUACCCUUGUAGUCC